GAAGCGGUGGCUCAAUGGUAGAGCUUUCGACUCCAGUUAAACUCUGAAAAUUUUCGGAAACAAUUGCAAUCGAAGGGUUGCAGGUUCAAUUCCUGUCCGUCUCA
rnacentral:tRNA from 1 species